AGAGUUUGAUUCUGGCUCAGGAUGAACGCUAGCUACAGGCUUAACACAUGCAAGUCGAGGGGCAGCAUUGGAGUAGCAAUACUUCAGAUGGCGACCGGCGCACGGGUGAGUAACACGUAUCCAACCUGCCGCUUACUCGGGGAUAGCCUUUCGAAAGAAAGAUUAAUACCCGAUGGUAUAAAGAGUUCGCAUGUUCUCUUUAUUAAAGAAUUUCGGUAAGCGAUGGGGAUGCGUUCCAUUAGAUAGUUGGCGGGGUAACGGCCCACCAAGUCUACGAUGGAUGGGGGUUCUGAGAGGAAGGUCCCCCACAUUGGAACUGAGACACGGUCCAAACUCCUACGGGAGGCAGCAGUGAGGAAUAUUGGUCAAUGGACGAGAGUCUGAACCAGCCAAGUAGCGUGAAGGAUGACUGCCCUAUGGGUUGUAAACUUCUUUUAUAAGGGAAUAAAGUGAGGGACGUGUCCCUUUUUGUAUGUACCUUAUGAAUAAGGAUCGGCUAACUCCGUGCCAGCAGCCGC
rnacentral:rRNA from 1 species